ensembl:lncRNA
GGAAAAGCUGCUGCUGUUGGAUUUAAAGGAGAAUCGGUGUAGGAUAUCCUUCAAGAGAAUGGGCAGAAAGGCCUUGAAGACUUUCUCACUCUUGUGUAUGAGUCCUUGAUCAGUUCCCCUGCCCACAGACACACACACGCACAAACAAAUCCUCCGUAUGGAACCCAGUGCAGGAUCCAAAAAGACAGUAUGGGGUAACCUGCGCCAGAAAGCCAAGCCGUUGAUCCACUACGUCCGCGGCAACAGCCAAAGACACAUCAGGUCACAGGUUAGACCAGAGCGAGCGUUGGACCAUAGGACCAGCUCUUCAGUGCCUUCUUCCCCUUCCCAACCAGCCCGGCUUCCCGCUGCCAGCAGUCCCUCCACACCUGUCAGUCAGCCUGUGUUAGAGACAAGGGGCGGGGCCCAGUGUUCUGAGUCGCCAGCUGGGCCUACGAACUUAUCUGAUUGGAUACCACAGGACUUGGUGGAUGGCGGUGUUGAUGAGGAGCAGGACUUCUUGGACGCUGUAGAUGAGAUGGAGCUUCUCCCAGAGAACUCAACAGAGCAGAGGAAACGGGUUGAGAACCACCAUGACACUGAUGAUUCUUUCCAUGGCCCUGAG